UGUGCGUGCCUUUAAAUUGGAGCAGGAAGGACUUCAUGGGGAAGGGUUAGCAACAGCAGACCUCCUGAGAGUGCAGCCCCUCUGUUUGUUCUGCUUUCCUUUCAGACAAUUGUGGACAAAAAGAGAACUGCCGUUUCAUCCCAGGACCAGAGAACUCAUAUCAGAAGCUGGAGGUUCUGAGAGUAGAAACUGUCUACAAAUUUUGAUUCCCAAGGGACCUGUGUUAUCCUGUUGCAGCUGACAAAGACUGACCCAAAUCCUCUGGAACUGACCAUUCUGCACCUGCUGAAUCUGCUGAAGAGGGAAUUCACCUCAGAAUAUUGUAAUAACGAUGUUUUACUAUUUGCUCUCACAUUUGAAAUACAUAUUUUUACUAAAACAGUUGAUUUUAUUUGUUGUAUGUAACUAUUUGUCAAAAAAAAGGUUUCUUGCCAUGAUUUCAUGUCAUUCAGUUUCCAAUGUUGAUUGCUGAUACUGGAUAUAUGACUUUCAUAUGUUGUCUUUUAUAACGUAUUUGCUGAUCAGCUAUGCUUUGCUUUACUUCGCUUAUUAUUUAGCCCAUGUAAUUUUAUAAUGGAAUGGCAUGUAUGGCAGACUCACAAGCAAGCUACGACCUUCCUUUCUCCCUUGGCCAUGAUACACAGGAGCUUAUUUGCACUGCUGGAAAGAACAGCUUGGAGUUUUAUUUUCAAAGAAAGAAACUGAGUGACUAUUGGGGGGUGGUACUGAGCACAUGAUAAUUCAAAUGCUUUGCCACCGCUUUUUGCGCACCUUAGGUUGCUGAUGUUAUUAACUGCCAUACCUAGAGUAUAAGUUUUGCCCUACUCUAUGAGGUCAGUUCUAACAAGAAAUAUCUUGCUGUGAACAUGUACCUUUUCAAUAAAGUCCUUAUUUGACUCAAAUCAAAGAGGCUGAGUUGAUGAGAGCUGCACAGAACCAGAUACUAUUAAUUAUAUCUGAAAAUUAUUGAUUAAUUUAUAUUUUCCUUUCCCCUUUUUCCUGUUUUGUACCCCACUUUUUUGAAAAAAUAAAAAAUAAAUCACAAAAUCA